rnacentral:rRNA from 1 species
GUCCACGCCGUAAACGAUGGGUGCUAGGUGUGGGCGGUGUCGACUCCGUCCGUGCCGAAGCUAACGCAUUAAGCACCCCGCCUGGGGAGUACGGCCGCAAGGCUAAAACUCAAAGGAAUUGACGGGGGCCCGCACAAGCAGCGGAGCAUGUGGUUUAAUUCGAUGCGACGCGAAGAACCUUACCAGGGCUUGACAUGCACUGGAAUGCCGUAGAAAUACGGCAGCCCUUCGGGGCCGGUGCGCAGGUGGUGCAUGGCUGUCGU